rnacentral:tRNA from 1 species
UAGAAGGUGGUGUAACGGAAGCACAAGGAGUUUUGAUCUCCCAGGAAAGGGUUCGACCCCCUUCUUUCUAA